AUUGAACGCUGGCGGCGUGCUUAACACAUGCAAGUCGAUCGGUAACAGGUGUAGCAAUACAUGCUGACGAGAGGCGGACGGGUGAGUAAUGCUUGGGAAUCUGCCUAUUAGUGGGGGACAACCCGGGGAAACUCGGGCUAAUACCGCAUACGCUCUACGGAGGAAAGCCGGGGACCGCAAGGCCUGGCGCUAAUAGAUGAGCCCAAGUCGGAUUAGCUAGUUGGUAGGGCAACGGCCUACCAAGGCGACAAUCCGUAGCUGGUCUGAGAGGACGACCAGCCACACCGGAACUGAGACACGGUCCGGACUCCUACGGGAGGCAGCAGUGGGGAAUAUUGGACAAUGGGGGCAACCCUGAUCCAGCGACGCCGCGUGGGUGAAGAAGGCCUGCGGGUUGU
rnacentral:rRNA from 1 species